GCUCCCAUGGCGUAGUGGUCACUGCGCUCGCCUUGCACGCGGGAGACCCGGGUUCGAUUCCUAGCGGGGUCA
rnacentral:tRNA from 1 species